AACGAACGCUGGCGGCAGGCUUAACACAUGCAAGUCGAGCGGGCCCUUCGGGGUCAGCGGCGGACGGGUUAGUAACGCGUGGGAACGUGCCCUUUGCUUCGGAAUAGCCCUGGGAAACUGGGGGUAAUACCGGAUGUGCCCUGAGGGGGAAAGAUUUAUCGGCAAGGGAUCGGCCCGCGUCUGAUUAGGUAGUUGGUGAGGUAACGGCUCACCAAGCCGACGAUCGGUAGCUGGUUUGAGAGGAUGAUCAGCAACACUGGGACUGAGACACGGCCCAGACUCCUACGGGAGGCAGCAGUGGGGAAUCUUAGACAAUGGGGGCAACCCUGAUCUAGCCAUGCCGCGUGGGUGAUGAAGGCCUUAGGGUCGUAAAGCCCUUUCGCCGGGGAAGAUAAUGACGGUACCCGGUAAAGAAACCCCGGCUAACUCCGUGCCAGCCGCCGCCGUAACAC
rnacentral:rRNA from 1 species